rnacentral:ncRNA from 1 species
UGAACUCCAUGCUCAAAGCGCAGCUCCCAGACGAAAGUCUGGGCUGAAAAACUAGGUGAAUUCAGGGAAGCCCUACUCUUUAGUGGAAAAGAGGGGUAAUCCUGAGCCAAGUCCUGAAUCAUCAUGAUUCAGGAAAGGUGCAGAGACUAGACAGAAAUGUCGUACUCUCAAUAUUAAUGUAAUGGUAAUGAGGGGAAGCGCCUAGCACCUAAGUCCGUCUCAGGCGGAUAAGGUGAUGAGAUAGUCCAGCCCUAACAGUAAUGUUGGG